rnacentral:rRNA from 1 species
UACGAAGGGGGCUAGCGUUGCUCGGAAUCACUGGGCGUAAAGCGCACGUAGGCGGCUUUUUAAGUCAGAGGUGAAAUCCUGGAGCUCAACUCCAGAACUGCCUUUGAUACUGGAGAGCUUGAGUCCGGGAGAGGUGAGUGGAACUGCGAGUGUAGAGGUGAAAUUCGUAGAUAUUCGCAAGAACACCAGUGGCGAAGGCGGCUCACUGGCCCGGAACUGACGCUGAGGCGCGAAAGCGUGGGGAGCAAACAGG